CACGUAGGGCGCAAGCGUUGUCCGGAAUUAUUGGGCGUAAAGAGCUCGUAGGCGGUCUGUUGCGUCCGCUGUGAAAACUCGGGGCUUAACCCCGAGCCUGCAGUGGAUACGGGCAGACUAGAGGUAGGCGGAAUUCCGGGUGGAGUGGUGAAAUGCGUAGAGAUCCGGAGGAACACCAGAGGCGAAGGCGGCCUACUGGGCUGCACCUGACGCUGAGCCGCGAAAGCCAGGGGAGCGAACGGG
rnacentral:rRNA from 1 species